UACGGAGGGGACUAGCGUUGUUCGGAAUUACUGGGCGUAAAGCGCACGUAGGCGGACCAUCAAGUUGGGGGUGAAAUCCCGGGGCUCAACCCCGGAACUGCCUUCAAAACUGUUGGUCUGGAGGUCGAGAGAGGUGAGUGGAAUUCCGAGUGUAGAGGUGAAAUUCGUAGAUAUUCGGAGGAACACCAGUGGCGAAGGCGGCUCACUGGCUCGAUUCUGACGCUGAGGUGCGAAAGCGUGGGGAGCAAACAGG
rnacentral:rRNA from 1 species